rnacentral:rRNA from 1 species
CGAACGCUGGCGGCGUGCUUAACACAUGCAAGUCGACCGGAAAGGCCCCUUUGGGGGUCCUCGAGUGGCGAACGGGUGAGUAACACGUGAGUAACCUGCCCUUGACUUCGGGAUAACUUCAGGAAACUGGGGCUAAUACCGGAUAGGAAUCCUUGCUGCAUGGUGGGGGUUGGAAAGCUUCGGCGGUUUUGGAUGGACUCGCGGCUUAUCAGCUUGUUGGUGGGGUAGUGGCUUACCAAGGCUUUGACGGGUAGCCGGCCUGAGAGGGCGACCGGCCACAUUGGGACUGAGAGACGGCCCAGACUCCUACGGGAGGCAGCAGUGGGGAAUAUUGCACAAUGGGCGGAAGCCCGAUGCAGCAACGCCGCGUGCGGGAUGACGGCCUUCGGGUUGUAAACCGCUUUCAGCAGGGGCGAAGCUUGUGGUGACGGUACCUGCAGAAGAAGCACCGGCUAACUACGUG